UUUUACUGUUUUUAUCCAAAUUUUAAUUGGGGAUAUUUUACUGUUUUUAUCCAAAUUUUAAUUGGGGAUAUUUUAUUGUUUUUACUAGAACAAACUGAGAGUGAGGUGGCUCAGCCUGCAUGUGAAGCUCUGUAACAUGCUUUUAAGGGGAAAAAAGUAUUUUAUUUGUUUUUAUCCAAAUUUUUAUUGGGGAUAUUUUACUGUUUUUAUCCAAAUUUUAAUUGGGGAUAUUUUAUUGUUUUUACUGGAACAAACUGAGAGUGAGGUGGCUCAGUCUGCAUGUGAAGCUCUGUAACAUGCUUUUAAUUGUAAAAAGUAUUUUAUUUGUUUUUAUCCAAAUUUUAAUUGGGGAUAUUUUACUGUUUUUAUCCAAAUUUUAAUUGGGGAUAUUUUACUGUUUUUAUCCAAAUUUUAAUUGGGGAUAUUUUACUGUUUUUAUCCAAAUUUUAAUUGGGGAUAUUUUACUGUUUUUAUCCAAAUUUUAAUUGGGGAUAUUUUAUUGUUUUUACUAGAACAAACUGAGAGUGAGGUGGCUCAGCCUGCAUGUGAAGCUCUGUAACAUGCUUUUAAUUGUAAAGUAUUUUAUUUGUUUUUAUCCAAAUUUUAAUUGGGGAUAUUUUACUGUUUUUAUCCAAAUUUUAAUUGGGGAUAUUUUACUGUUUUUAUCCAAAUUUUAAUUGGGGAUAUUUUAUUGUUUUUACUGGAACAAACUGAGAGUGAGGUGGCUCAGCCUGCAUGUGAAGCUCUGUAACAUGCUUUUAAGGGGAAAAAAGUAUUUUAUUUGUUUUUAUCCAAAUUUUUAUUGGGGAUAUUUUACUGUUUUUAUCCAAAUUUUAAUUGGGGAUAUUUUAUUGUUUUUACUGGAACAAACUGAGAGUGAGGUGGCUCAGUCUGCAUGUGAAGCUCUGUAACAUGCUUUUAAGAGGAAAAAGUAUUUUAUUUGUUUUUAUCCAAAUUUUAAUUGGGGAUAUUUUACUGUUUUUAUCCAAAUUUUUAUUGGGGACAUUUUACUGUUUUUAUCCAAAUUUUAAUUGGGGAUAUUUUAUUGUUUUUACUGGAACAAACUGAGAGUGAGGUGGCUCAGUCUGCAUGUGAAGCUCUGUAACAUGCUUUUAAUUGUAAAAAGUAUUUUAUUUGUUUUUAUCCAAAUUUUAAUUGGGGAUAUUUUACUGUUUUUAUCCAAAUUUUAAUUGGGGAUAUUUUACUGUUUUUAUCCAAAUUUUAAUUGGGGAUAUUUUAUUGUUUUUACUGAAACAAACUGAGAGUGAGGUGGCUCAGUCUGCAUGUGAAGCUCUGUAACAUGCUUUUAAGGGGAAAACGUAUUUUAUUUGUUUUUAUCCAAAUUUUAAUUGGGGAUAUUUUACUGUUUUUAUCCAAAUUUUAAUUGGGGAUAUUUUAUUGUUUUUACUGGAACAAACUGAGAGUGAGGUGGCUCAGUCUGCAUGUGAAGCUCUGUAACAUGCUUUUAAGAGGAAAAAGUAUUUUAUUUGUUUUUAUCCAAAUUUUAAUUGGGGAUAUUUUACUGUUUUUAUCCAAAUUUUUAUUGGGGAUAUUUUACUGUUUUUAUCCAAAUUUUAAUUGGGGAUAUUUUAUUGUUUUUACUGGAACAAACUGAGAGUGAGGUGGCUCAGUCUGCAUGUGAAGCUCUGUAACAUGCUUUUAAUUGUAAAAAGUAUUUUAUUUGUUUUUAUCCAAAUUUUAAUUGGGGAUAUUUUACUGUUUUUAUCCAAAUUUUAAUUGGGGAUAUUUUACUGUUUUUAUCCAAAUUUUAAUUGGGGAUAUUUUAUUGUUUUUACUGAAACAAACUGAGAGUGAGGUGGCUCAGUCUGCAUGUGAAGCUCUGUAACAUGCUUUUAAGGGGAAAAGGUAUUCUAUUUGUUUUUAUCCAAAUUUAAUUGGGGAUAUUUUACUGUUUUAUUGUUUUUACUGGAAGAAACUGAGAGUGAGGUGGCUCAGUCUGCAUGUGAAGCUCUGUAACAUGCUUUUAAGGGGAAAACGUAUUUUAUUUGUUUUUAUCCAAAUUUUAAUUGGGGAUAUUUUACUGUUUUUAUCCAAAUUUUAAUUGGGGAUAUUUUAUUGUUUUUACUGGAACAAACUGAGAGUGAGGUGGCUCAGUCUGCAUGUGAAGCUCUGUAACAUGCGUUUAAGGGGGAAAAAGUAUUUUAUUUGUUUUUAUCCAAAGUUUAAUUUGGGAUAUUUUACUGUUUUUAUCCAAAUUUUAAUUGGGGAUAUUUUACUGUUUUUAUCCAAAUUUUAAUUGGGGAUAUUUUACUGUUUUUAUCCAAAUUUUAAUUUGAGAUAUUUUACUGUUUUUAUCCUAAUUUAUAAGUUGAGGCAGGUCAUUUUAUGAUUAUUUGGGAAAUGAGGGACUUUUACAUUAUUUUAUCCAUUGUGGGGGACAAAGGGAAUAUUUUACUUUUAAUUUAUACAGUAGACCUUUUUUUUUUUAUCUUUUUUUUAGUUAAA